CAAUCCAUGAGUAAAGUGGCGACCGGGUGAGUAACACGUGACUACCUACCCUUGAGUGGGGGAUAACCUCGGGAAACCGAGGCUAAUACCGCAUAAUAUCGAAAGAUCAAAGGAGUAAUCCGCUUUUGGAGGGGGUCGCGGCUGAUUAGCUAGUUGGUAGGGUAAUGGCCUACCAAGGCGAAGAUCGGUAUCCGGCCUGAGAGGGCGCACGGACACACUGGAACCGAAACACGGUCCAGACUCCUACGGGAGGCAGCAGUGGGGAAUUUUGCGCAAUGGGGGAAACCCUGACGCAGCAACGCCGCGUGGAGGAUGAAGCCCCUUGGGGUGUAAACUCCUUUCGACCGGGAAAAUUAUGAUGGUACCGGUGGAAGAAGCACCGGCUAACUCUGUGCCAGCAGCCGCGGUAAU
rnacentral:rRNA from 1 species